rnacentral:lncRNA from 1 species
GUUUGAUAAUGACUUGUCCUAUGUUGAAGAGCUAGUGGAAAUAUUUGAUAAGUAGGUUCAAAAGCUCAUGUCAAAGGAUAUAGCUUCAGUAAAGGUUCAGUGACGGGGUAAGCUGGCCAAGGAGGCGACUUGGGAGACCGAUCGGGAUAUGUGCAGCCGAUACCCUCAUCUUUUUCUACUUCAGGUAUGUUCUCUAUGCUCGUUCGAGGACGAACAAAUGUUUAAGUAUAGGAGGAUGUGAUGACCCGACCGGUCAUCUUUUAGAAUUUAUUCCUCGUUCCCCUAUUAACUGCUUCCCCUAAGUUCAUUUCUGCUAUUUUGGGUUGGCAGGGUGUUCGUAAUAGAACUCGAAGUGUUUUGGGACAAUUAGUCCCUAAAUGAGAAUAGUAUGAAGACGACCUCGGAAUGGAAAACCGAUGGCUCCGUUACCUCCGUUAGGUGAUUUCGGGGUCGAGAGCGUGUCCAAAAUGUAUUUUGGAUGUCCGUAGCUGAUUUAGGCUAGAAAUGCCAAAAGUUAGAGUUUAGAAGUUUCCGGUCCAAUACUGAAUUUUUGAUACGAGGGUCGGAACGGGAUUAUGGAAGUUGUUGUAGCACCGUCAUGUCAUUUGGGACGUGCAUGCAAAAUUUCCAAUGAACGUGUUUUGGUUAGGUUUUGACUCGAACGUGAGUUUGGUUAAGUUUUGAAGUUUUUAAGUUCAUAUUAUUAUUUAAUUUGUGUUUCCGGUGUUGUUUUAGGUGGUUUAAGGAUUGCUACACGUUUUAAUGAUGUUAUGGGAUAUCUUUGUAGGUUUGGUUGAGGUCCCGGGAGGCCUCAGGAUGAUUUCAGAUGGUUGACGGAUGAAACUUCUAAAGUGUGCAGCUUCAGCCCUUCAGCCUUCUGGUAUUUUCGCUUCUGCAGCUUGGGGACCGCAGAAGCGGAGCCACCGAAGCAUCUUAGGUGCCUCAAAUGCGAUUUUGGGGGCUCAAGGCCAGGAGUCGAAAAAGCUGUCCUCUCUCCGCAAAGGCAAAACCGCAAAAACCGUUAAUUGUCCGCAGGAGCGGACUCAGGCCUUUAAGUGAAACCACAGAAGAGGUUAAUUUUCGGCAGAAGCGGGACCACAGAAGCGGUCCCUGGUCGAAAAAGCGGAAAUCCCUGUUCAGAAAUAGUAAAAUCGAGGGUUAAGAUUCAAAAGUUGAAAAAUCAAUUGAGAGCUCGAGAGAAGGUGAUUUUUAGCGAGUAUUGAAGAGAAGACUAUUGGAUAAUGAUUCCUUACUUCUCUAUGACUAAAACCCACUAAUCUAAUCUCAAAUUCAAGCUUUAAUUUCGAAUUUUAAAUGAAAAUUGGGGUAAAGUUCUUAGGCCUUACUUUGAUUAUUUGAAGGGGCAUUUGACGUCCGAUUAGGGAGAAUUUUAUAUUUUUAGAUUCGUGAGAGUACGAUGUUUCUAAAUAUAUGAAAAUUAUUCAAUUUCGAGACGUUUGCUUGGGGGGAACUUUGGUCAUUUUAUCUAUUUUCGCGCUUUUACUUUGAUUUUAAUAGUUGAAUUAGUUACUUGUGAUGUUAUUAAUAAUAUGUAUUUGGUUUGAAUAGAUUUGGGCCACUCGGAGUCGGAUACUCGUGGCAAGGGCAUUGUUAUUUUGUACCAAUUCGAGGUAAGUGGCUUGUCUAACUUUGUGUGGGGGACCUCUCCCCUUAGGAUAUCCUUGCUAUUGUUUAAAUGCCUUGUGCGCGAGGUGACGAGCCUGUAGUUGUGCUAGUUGUAGAAAUUCAUCGUACUUGGCUUAUUUAGACUGUGUAUUAUUCACAUGUUUAACAAUCAAAAAUGCAAUUUUACUUGUUUUAGCUUAGGGGAAGCAUGUUAGUAACUUAUUUGCUCCACUUGACUAAAUUGCAAUAUCUGUUUUUCUUAUGAAUCAUGCUAGACUUUAAAUUUUACUUGUUGGCCGCACUUAACUACUUUUUGUUAAAUAUUGGUUUGUUAUAGUGUGUUUACUACUGGGACUACGAGAUGGCAUCCCGGGAGCUUCCCCUGUUCGUACUUUGUUACGAGAUUUGGAAGUGCGGGAUACCAAGAGAUCCCCGACACAGGAUUGAUUAACUGGCCGACACUAAUAGAUCCCCAGCGUAGAACUGAUUAACUAAUGGAUACUAAGAGAUCCUCGGGAUAGUUGGAUAUCUCUUGUUUAUACGAUGACGAUACUAGGAGAUCCUAGGGAUACUUGGAGAUCCCUUAGGUAUAUAAUCGAGAUACCAGAAGAUCCUCGGAAUAUCAGGAGGUCCCCGAUGAUAAAUAGCCUGUAGUGAUCGUACUUAUAUUGUAGAUUCGCAUUUGUAGCCUGUUCAGUUUUACUUACUAUUUUUUUUAAAUACUCGAGCUUUACCGUAUUUCCUUCUGUCUAUUCAUUUUAUAUUUAUUCUUUUGUAUACAUCAGUAGGCCUCGACCUUCCUCGUCACUACCUCACCGAGGUUAGGCUUGGCAGUUACUUUGUUGUGCAUAUCCAGGUACAUCUGAGCAGGCAUACCGCCAGUAGCUGUCAGGGAGAAUUUCACUUGGAGUCUUGAGGUAUGCAUCUGCCGCGUCAGCAGAUCCGAAGAGUCUCCUUCUAUUAUACUUUUUACUUAGUAGUUUCAUUCAUGUAUUCGGUUGUUGUAGACAUUUUCGGGUAUUAGAGCUGUAUGUUAUGUUUUUUUACUCUUAGCUGUGUGGCACGUGGGUUUCCGG